AUCUGUCUCUGGAACAAUAGGUACCUGUAUUCUGCACGGACUGCUGGGUAGCGCUGACACUCCGGAGGAGACCGUCCUCUGUCUGCGCCUUGCUGGUUCUGUGCAGGCAGAUGAGUGCCCCAGCUGUAACUGAGGCACAGAGCAAUAAACAGAGUGGAGCCAAUUUCCACAAUGGCAAGAGGGGGCACUGGAGGUGACAACAAUGACAAGGACCCGAGGAGCAUCGUUCUGACAAGUUUUAGAUUCUCAGAUCGGUGAGAGUGAAUGACGAGUGAGUUGUCAAUGGUAGUUACUUCGCUCAGCGCAGAAUGACUGCAGGGAAUAUAUUCUGACAUACCCAAAGAAGUCUGCCCAGGGUGAAACAAUUACCUUUGGGGUUUAUAUCAGAAAGGAAGGAGAGGCUGUUUCUACAGGUGUCAUUGAAAAAUCAAUACUGAGCCACAGAUUAUUGGAUCCCAUAGAACCAUGGAGGCUUGGCAGUGAAAUUCUUCUAGAGCAUUCCAUCUAUGCAGGCAGACGGUGUUCCUAGGUUUGGAAGUAUAAAUCCCAGGGGAAGUGAGCUGAAGAACAUUUUAUGCAUCACUCAUCCUAUUAUGAGCCCUGUGCUGUUCCAUCUCUCUACAAGGCAAGAGAUUUAUUAGUGGCGGAAAAAUCAAAUAAUGGCUUGCAAUUUGUAUAGUCUCAUUUCGGAUCACUUAGUUUAUACUGUGACUGUUUAUACUGAUAAAACCGUUCUAUAAGAAAGACUAUAUAUUAGAGGCUGCUACUGCACUAAAAAGAGAAAAAGAAAAAUGCAAGGUUCUGGACCCCCCCAUCUAAUGAGCGUUGACUGAUUGAUUGUACUCACCAGCUGGCUAAUAUCAUAAUUAACAAAGUUGCUACUAUGUCUGCAAAGUUUAAUCGAAUAAUUUGCCAGUGAUAUGAUGACAUUGUCACAAAGAUCACAAGGGACACAGAGUUGACUUUUGCUCAAGGUGGAACGGCAAAGCUGUAUAGACAAGAUGAGAAACCGUGAACUUACUCAGCCAAAGCUUUUAGGGUUUAUGUUCUUGUGGCAUUCAAGUGCUAUGGAAAUAAGACCAGAUGGAUAUGACAACCAGCCAUUCGGGUUAUACUUUAUAUCACCCACAAGGGAGGAUCAUCUCUCAUGAAAACUUUCAAAUUUGAUUUUGGAAAUUAUUCAGAAAAAAUUAAGCCUUGCUCACUCCCAACAUAGGGAAGAAUAUGCUCUGGAGAUUCCCAUAAUUCAAAGAAAAUGGAAUGGGAUAAUAUUCAGGUUGUCAUGCUAUCAACUCCUCUUGAGAAGGAUGGCCAGAGGUGAUUAGAAUCUUAGCUGCAAGUUCCUGGGGUCAGUGGAGCUUGGAAGACUCUUUUUGCAGUCCCUCUGUUCAUGGACAAACAACCAUCAGGAAGAAGAAAUCUGUUUGAAGUUGCCCUUGUAAAAAUCUGCCUUUGCUUGUACAAUAAUAGAUGGGUUAGAUCACCAUAAGAAAUUUGACUUUAUGAAAAUACGAUUGUUUUAUGGGACUGGAGAGAUAGUGCAGCAGGAGGCUAAUAAUGAAGGGCCGGGGAAGGAGGCCAGUGUGACCAGGGUUAUCUCAAAGCCUCAGAUGCUGGAUAAGUCGGGGGAGGCAGAAUCGCUUUGGGAUGACAUUCAGAAAGGCUGGAGUGAUUAUUUGGAAGAGAAAUGCCUCCCUAUUCUUUUCCAAGGUGUAUUCCCCCUACUCCGUCCACUGAUGAAUUCUUAACAUCCUGCCUUAGACAAAGGCUGUGCUUGGAACCCCAUCACCCCUAAAACCAUGCUUUGAAGGAUCUGCCAAGCUCAGUUUUAAUCACGGAAAGAAAUUACCCACAUGGAGUCAGCAGAAAAUGAGAAAGUGGAGCUCGUGCUGAGAAUAAUUCCAGCAAGUGCCAAGGGUCUAGUUGAGGAAUGACUUCAUGAGGUUAGUCUAAAAACAGCACCUUUGAGAAAGAAAAGACAUCUUCAAGGACGUCUAGUUGUACCUCCUUCCUGUAUGUGGCUUCAAAGCAUAGGUUGGAUCAAUGACUUGGAUUUAUUUUUUAACUUGAACUCUUUUAAUAUUGACAACUAAACUGUAUUCAUUUUUCACUGUUUUAUGUACAUUUGCUUAUACUUUGAUUGCUUUAAUACUGACUGUUGACCACUGCUCAUUUUUGACUGAUUUUCUGUAUUUUUUUAAUGAAAAUUCAAAUAAAAUUAUUUU